ACGUCAUGUAGCUCACAUUUGAGCUGCACGAUGCAUACUGCUGAUUUUCAUUUAUCCUCUCUAACCACUUUUGGUGACUCCCAUGUCGAAAUCCUAUCCUAGACCCAUUGGAGCUGACGACUAUAUCGAAGGACCCUAGCGGCCACAUCCCAUCUCGCCUCCUCGACGAUCUUCGAUAGUCUCCUACACUCGAUGGUCAAUUUGUUUCUUUCCUCAGUGUGAGCUUUGUCCCUUGGCCAA
rnacentral:lncRNA from 1 species